rnacentral:miRNA from 15 species
AGUGCUUGCUGGGUGCCAGGCA